GACAGGCGAGGACAGGAAAAAAAAAACCCUGGUGGGGCAACAGCCUCAAGAAAGCACAUUUCGAUCUGGAGAAGACAACAAAGAAACAAAUACCUGAGUGAGACAUGCACAGGAGAAGCACAAAGGUGCCGGUAGUGCCGACUGUGUGCGAGGGAGAGGGGAUGGGCGGUGUAAGAGUUUCUGCUGCAGUGCCUUCACCCCAAGUCUGCCUCCACCAGGGUAGCUGCACACGAGUGACUCGUCCAUCCAUCACAACACAGCUUGGCCAACAAACAUCCUGCGACACGGAUGAUAAAUACCCCGGCUUCAAGAAAAGGCCAGACGGAGAGAUGGAUGGAUGUGAAGGGAAAGAGACAGUUGAAGGUUUUAAAAUAGAGAGACGGGAAGAGAGGCAGAACUGGACCGAGACGGCAUCAAAUUGAAGAUGAAAUACAGUCAGGAAACUGUAAAAAAUGUAACAGAAAAUAGAAGAAAAAAAAAAAGAAAUCAAAUGCACCUGAGCGUGUAGGACAUAUAUUCCACUACUGCUCCACGAUUUGACUAACUUCUUCUCUCCCUCCUCAUCUGGGUCGUGGCUGCAUGAAGGAGCGAUCUGCUGGGUGACUGACAGACUCCUGCUCGCUGCCUCUGAUAGCAUUCCACUUUGCUUUGGUAUGUGGCAACAUAACGGAAUUGAGACAAUUUAAACAGACUAAAAGUAAGAAGAUGGACAUUGGUCAAACACUGGCUGCGUGCAGGGAUGCGUGAUGGCUGCAGUUUUGCAACGCCGCUAGAAUCAGAGACACACGCAGUCUUGUGCACAGAGCAAACGGACAUUUGCACAAAGCCAGAGAGGAAGACAAGCAGAGGACGCUGCAAAAGACACGCAGGGAAUGAGAGGACAGCGAGAGGCAGCCUUUUGUUGUUCCGCCGCUACCGUGCCCUCUGACCUACAAAAGAACCGUCUGCAAAAUGUCGCACAAAACCACGCGCGCGGCUACAUAAUGGCACGAGACAGACAAGCAGGAUGGACCCGGGGACACGUUUCCGCAUGGACGCCCUCGUGUGCGGAGCCAGUCCAGCCUCGUUCUGCCCACGGGCCCUCCCAGACAGGCCACUCGAGUGAGUGACCCCCCUGCUGACUCUAACACUGUGUGGCAGGGGGACCUCGAGACAGAUGUUCCCUGCCACUGGCAUGGUGCUGAGGAGAAGACACUCUCACUGUGUCGGUGUGAAGCAGGGCGACACUAAGAGAGAAAUGGAGUGCUUGAAUGUAGGGCGGGGGGAAAUUAAUCAAAUUUUAAUUGGGAUUCCCAUUUUGGCUUGUUGGGAUCAUCAAAACCUGAAAAUCGAAGCAAAAUGAUUCAUGAGCCAAACGGCGCUGCGAGUUGGCAAGUUUCCGACGUUGUGACGGUACCCUGAACGCACCGCGUGGCUUGCGCAGCAGCAAGCGUGUGACGUGCACGGGAUGCCGCCCUCCCCGAGAGGGUUUUAAGCUGUUGAAUGACACCCCAGUUGGACUCAAUUGCAAAACUAAACACACAACAAGAAUAAUUAAACACGUUGUACGUUUAAACACAUUGUACGUUUAAGACUUAAUUUUAGAAAGAGCGCCGGUGCUCAUGUUGUGAUAUUUCUUCAACUAGCUCUACUGGGGUACAAAUCCCCCUACUAGGAUAUGGCUAAUGUUCGCAUUUGAAUCGGUUCAGUUGCGAUUCGUGGUACCUGGGAAUGUACAGUAUACCUUUAACGAUACCAAUUUAUAAAUGUAUCUUUUUUUUUAUCCUACAAACAGACAUUUCCCAAGAUACGGCAUGAAAUAUGAUACCCGAGUUCCGAGGUUGUGAAAAUAAACACGAUUAAUGUUCAUACUGCAUUAUACAUCGUGGGUGGCGGCCAUUUUAUUGGCAAUGGUUACAUCGGUGUGUCCCUCGAGGUACUUGUAACGAGGUAGGACUGUAACGCGUUUUAAAAUCAAUGAAUACAA